rnacentral:lncRNA from 1 species
CUAGGCCUCCUCGGUGGCUCCUCCACCUCCGGACUCUCGUAGCUCGGCCUCCCAUACUGUGGCUUCCUGGGGGACCCUUCCCCACCAUAACCAUACCCGCCACCUUGUUCCUCUCCGAAGCUAGGUUUCCGACCGUACCCAGAUCCAUAUUCAGAACUCGGUGCUUCGUACUCAGGCCUCCGACCAUACCCAGAUCCAUACUCCGAACUGGGCUGCUCGAACUCGGGCCUCCGACCAUACCCAGAUCCAUACUCCGAACUAGGUUGCUCGUAUUCAGGCUUCCGACCGUACCCAGAUCCAUAUUCCGUGCUAGGCUGUUCGUAUUCAGGCUUCCGACCGUACCCAGAUCCAUAUUCCGAGCUAGGCUGUUCGUAUUCAGGCUUCCGACCGUACCCAGAUCCAUAUUCCGAGCUAGGCUGUUCGUAUUCAGGCUUCCGACCGUAGCCAGAUCCAUAUUCCGAGCUAGGCUGUUCGCAUUCAGGCUUCCGACCGUACCCGGAUCCGUACUCCGAACUGGGUUCCUCGUAAUCAGGCUUCCGCCCAUGCCCAGAUCCAUACUCACCCUCCCCACCAAAACUCGACGGCGGCUUCGGCUGAUACCCAUACUCACCACCAUCACCACUGCCUCCGAACCCUCCUUGGCCAGGAGGUGGUCCGGCGUAACCAAGGACCGGACGAGGCUUGGGACGAGCAUAGCUCUUGUAUUCAUUCUCAAGAGCUUCAUCACC